GACGAACGCUGGCGGCGUGCUUAACACAUGCAAGUCGAACGAUGAACCGGGUGCUUGCACCUGGGGAUUAGUGGCGAACGGGUGAGUAACACGUGAGUAACCUGCCCUGGACUCUGGGAUAACUCCGAGAAAUCGGUGCUAAUACCGGAUAGGACCUCGAACCGCAUGGUUUGGGGUGGAAAGUUUUUUCGGUCUGGGAUGGACUCGCGGCCUAUCAGCUUGUUGGUGAGGUAAUGGCUCACCAAGGCGUCGACGGGUAGCCGGCCGGAGAGGGUGACCGGCCACACUGGGACUGAGACACGGCCCAGACUCCUACGGGAGGCAGCAGUGGGGGAUAUUGCACAAUGGGCGCAAGCCUGAUGCAGCAACGCCGCGUGCGGGAUGACGGCCUUCGGGUUGUAAACCGCUUUUAGUAAGGAAGAAGCCUUCGGGUGACGGUACUUGCAGAAAAAGGACCGGCUAACUACGUGCCAGCCGCCGCCGUAAUAC
rnacentral:rRNA from 1 species